rnacentral:rRNA from 1 species
AUUGAACGCUGGCGGCAGGCCUAACACAUGCAAGUCGAACGAGUGGCGGACGGGUGAGUAAUGUCUGUGAAACUGCCCGAUAGAGGGGGGUAACUACUGGAAACGGUAGCUAAUACCGCAUACCAUCGGAUGUACCCAUAUGGGAUUAGCUAGUAGUUGGGGUAAAGGCUCACCUAGGCGACGAUCCCUAGCUGGUCUGAGAGGAUGACCAGCCACACUGGAACUGAGACACGGCCCAGACUCCUACGGGAGGCAUCAGUGGGGAAUAUUGCAAAAUGGGCGCAAGCCGGAUACAGCCAUGCCGCGUGUAUGAAGAAGGCCUUAGGGUUGUAAAGUACUUGCAGCGGGGAGGCGUUACUCGCAGAAGAAGCACCGGCUAACUCCGUGCCAGCAGCCGCGGUAAUAC